rnacentral:tRNA from 1 species
CCGCCUGUAGCUCAAUUGGAUAGAGCAAGAAGCUUCUACCUUCUAGGUUGUGGGUUCAAAUCCUGCCAGGUGGACCA